UACUUCCUAUUUAACUCUCAGUAAACAGAUUAUCUUAAACAUUUUUUCGUGUUUAUUCUGUUUGUGUUUAUUUUCCUAAAUAAUUAUGUUGUAUUGACUUCUCCACAUUUCAUGCCAUAGAGAUUCCGUGAGUUCCAAGCACCUCCAAAACAUAACUUGGGAGUUCUGCUAUUGGAGUUAAUUCGAUUUAUAUUUAGUGGAUGAUAAUGGCUCAUUGCUGGAUAUGUAUUCACGAAGUGAUAUCCCUGCUUUGGCAAAAGAUAAAGCAUAUGCACAGAUUCGCCUUGGUGAAAUGCGUAUUCACCAGGUAAUUCCUCAAUCUUAUGUAUUUAUCUGACUCCAUCAGGCAUGCUAACUGUAUGGUAGAUAGCAAUCUCUUUAAAUACUUAUAGUUGAGCACUUGUUUUCUCACAGAAAGUGGCAAUGGUUAUUAAUCUAGAUGCUUUGUAAUCUUGGUUUCAAUUUAUUGCUUACAAAAUUGUCUUAGGUAGUUGGAGU